AAAGAGGAUGCCAAAAUAUGAUCCCAAUGCUUAUGUUUAUGAUGGAAUUGCAUGAGGGAUCUUAGGGUCAAAAUUGGGGUCUUACAGUUACUUUUACCGGGUAUUGGGGCAAAAGUAAAAUACUCACAAAUUGAGAAGAAUAUUACCAGUUACUGGGUAACAAACUCUCAGGCGACCCAAAAGCAUGUAUCUAAGCAAUAUCUAGAAAGAAAAGGUCAAUCAAAGACU
rnacentral:lncRNA from 1 species